GGGUCCAAUCCCAUCCCCACCUAGUAGCAUCUCAUGCCAAUAGAGUGGUUGCUUCUUUCCUAAUGCAACUAAACCACUGCAUCUAACUAAGAAUAGUCAACAUUGGAGAGGAUACAAUACUCUACCAUGGUAGAAGAUCCUAUGACUUAAUAGUAACGAAGAGAUUUUUAAUUUAGAUCUCUUUAAUCUUAAUUAGUCAUAACUGUUAUGACUAAUCUUAAAGGCAUGGGCUAGCUUACCAAGUAACCAUAUCUAGACUAAUCAACCAAAUUGAU
rnacentral:lncRNA from 1 species